rnacentral:rRNA from 1 species
UGAGGAACAUGACCUUCGGCGGGGAUAGCCGGCCCAACGGCCGGGUAAUACCGCGUACGACCAUUUGGGGACAUCCCCGAGUGGUGAAAGCAGCAAUGCGCCGAUGGAGUGCCUCGCGGCCUAUCAGCUAGUUGGUGAGGUAACGGCUCACCAAGGCGACGACGGGUAGCUGGUCUGAGAGGAUGGCCAGCCACAUUGGGACUGAGACACGGCCCAGACUCCUACGGGAGCAG